CCUGCAUGUCUAAGUACAAGCCUCAGUAAGGUGAAACCGCGAAUGGCUCAUUAAAUCACACCUAAUCUACUGGAAAGUUACUAGUUACUUGGAUAACUGAGGUAAUUCUUGAGCUAAUACAUGCGAAAAAUCUCGACUCACGGAGAGAUGCUUUUAUUAGAUCAAAACCAAACGGCUUCCGCCGUCUCAUUGGUGACUCUGAAUAACUUUGGGCUGAUCGUAUGGCCUUGUGCCGACGACGUUUCCUUCGAAGGUGUGCCCUAUCAACUGUCGACUGUGAUAUAGACGCUCACAGUGGUUUUGACGGGUAACGGGGAAUCAGGGUUCGAUUCCGGAGAGGGAGCCUUAAAAACGGCUACCACAUCCAAGGAAGGCAGCAGGCACGCAAAUUACCCAAUGAACGAAGUUCGAGGUAGUGACGAAAAAUAACGAUACAGGACUCAUCCGAGGCCCUGUAAUUGGAAUGAGUACACUUUAAAACCGUUCCCGAGGAUCUAUUGGAGGGCAAGUCUGGUGCCAGCAGCCGCGGUAAUUCCAGCUCCAAUAGCGUAUAUUAAAGUUGUUGUGGUUAAAAAGCUCGUAGUUGGAUCUCGGCGGACAGAAGUCGGUCCGAAUGCUUUCGGUACUGGCUUGUUUGUCCGUGUGUUUUGCCAGAGGCAGGCGGGUGCUCUUAAUCGAGUGUCCGUCUGUGCUGGCAGGUUUACUUUGAAAAAAUUAGAGUGCUCAAAGCAAGCUCUCACGCUUGAAUAUUCGUGCAUGGAAUAAUAGAAUAGGAUGUCGUUUCUAUUUUGUUGGUUUUCGGAAAUCGACAUAAUGAUUAAUAGGGACAGUCGGGGGCAUUUGUAUUCAAACGACAGAGGUGAAAUUCUUGGACCGUUUGAAGACAAACUACUGCGAAAGCAUUUGCCAAGAAUGUUUUCAUUAAUCAAGAACGAAAGUUAGAGGUUCGAAGGCGAUUAGAUACCGCCCUAGUUCUAACCAUAAACGAUGCCAGCUAGCGAUCUGCAGGCGUUUUACUUUACGACCUUGCAGGGAGCUUCCGGGAAACCAAAGCUUGUGGGUUCCAGGGGAAGUAUGGUUGCAAAGCUGAAACUUAAAGGAAUUGACGGAAGGGCACCACCAGGAGUGGAGCCUGUGGCUUAAUUUGACUCAACACGGGAAAUCUCACCAGGCCCGGACACGAGAAGGAUUGACAGAUUGAUAGCUCUUUCUUGAUUUCGUGGGUGGUGGUGCAUGGCCGUUCUUAGUUGGUGGAGUGAUUUGUCUGGUUAAUUCCGAUAACGAACGAGACUCUGUCCUGCUAACUAGUGUCUGCUUCUUUUCUGAGCAGAUUAUUCUUCUUAGAGGGACUGGUAGCUCUUAGCUACACGAGAUUGAGCAAUA
rnacentral:rRNA from 1 species